UACGUAGGUGGCAAGCGUUGUCCGGAAUUAUUGGGCGUAAAGGGCGUGUAGGUGGAUCUUUAAGUCUUGUGUCUAAGUGCGGUGCUCAACGCCGUAUGGGCGCAGGAAACUGGGGAUCUUGAGUGCAGGAGAGGAAAGUGGAAUUCCCAGUGUAGCGGUGAAAUGCGUAGAUAUUGGGAGGAACACCAGUGGCGAAGGCGACUUUCUGGACUGUGUCUGACACUGAGGCGCGAAAGCCAGGGGAGCGAACGGGAUUAGAUACCCCGGUAGUCCUGGCCGUAAACGAUGGGUACUAGGUGUAGGAGGUAUCGACCCCUUCUGUGCCGGAGUUAACGCAAUAAGUACCCCGCCUGGGGAGUACGGCCGCAAGGUUGAA
rnacentral:rRNA from 1 species